UACGGGGGGGGCAAGCGUUGUUCGGAAUUACUGGGCGUAAAGGGCUCGUAGGCGGCCAACUAAGUCAGACGUGAAAUCCCUCGGCUUAACCGGGGAACUGCGUCUGAUACUGGAUGGCUUGAAUCCGGGAGAGGGAUGCGGAAUUCCAGGUGUAGCGGUGAAAUGCGUAGAUAUCUGGAGGAACACCGGUGGCGAAGGCGGCAUUCUGGACCGACAUUGACGCUGAGGAGCGAAAGCCAGGGGAGCAAACGGG
rnacentral:rRNA from 1 species